rnacentral:rRNA from 1 species
GGUUCGAUUUAACCAUGCAAGUCUUAGGCUCUCUUCGGAGAGACUGGCGUAAGGCUCAGUAACACGUCGAUAAUCUAACUUAUGGUUCAGGAUAACCUUGGGAAACUGAGGCUAAACCUGGAUAGAGGAUUAUUACUGGAAUGUAUUUUCCUUGAAAAGUAAUGCCAUAAGAUGAGUCGGCGGCUGAUUAGGCUGUUGGUAAGGUAAAGGCUCACCAAACCAUAGAUCAGUAGGGGUUGUGAGAGCAAUAGCCUCGAGAAGGACACUGAGACAAGGGUCCUAGCCCUAAGGGGUGCAGCAGGUGCGAAAACUUUACAAUGCACGAAAGUGUGAUAAGGGAACCCAAAGUGCUCACUUUUAGUGGGCUUUUUUUAAGUGUAAAAAGCUUAAAGAAUAAGUGGUGGGCAAGACCGGUGCCAGCCGCCGCGGUAACACCGGCGCCACGAGUGGUAACCACGAUUAUUGGGCCUAAAGGGUCCGUAGCCGAUUUGAUAAGUCUCUUGUGAAAUUGUUGAGCUUAACUUAACAGCGUGCAAGAGAAACUAUUAUUUUAGGGACCAGGAGGGGUUAGAAGUAUGCUUUGGGGAGUGGUAAAAUGCGAUAAUCCUUAGUAGACUACCACUGUGAAGACAUCUAACUAGAAUGGGUCCGACGGUAAGGGACGAAAGCUGAGGGAGCGAUCCGGAUUAGAUACCCGAGUAGUCUCAGCUGUAAACUCUGCGAACUAUGUGUUGCAUGUUCUCAGUGAACAUGCAGUGCCGUAGUGAAGACGUUAAGUUCGCCGCCUGGGAAGUACGGCCGCAAGACUGAGACUUUAAGGAAUUGGCGGGGGCGCACUACAAGGGGUGCGGCGUGCGGUUUAAUCUAACUCCACACAGAGAAUCUCACCAGAGACGACGGCAGAAUGAAGGUCAGAUUGAAGGUUUUACCUGACAAGCCGAGAGAUGCUGCAUGGCCGACGUCAGCUCGUGCUGUGAAGUGUCACGUUAAGUCGUGCAACGAGCAAGACCUAUACUUAUAGUUGCUAACAACUAUUUUUAGAAUUGAACACACUAUAAGGACUGCCUUGGUAACAAGGAGGAAGGUGUAGGCUACGUUAGGUCUGUAUGGCUCGAAUUUUCUGGGCUACACGCGCGCAACAAUGGUAGGGACAAUGGGAUACAACUCUGAAAAGAGAAGUCAAACCUCUAAACCCUAUCUUAGUUCAGAUUGAAGAUUGUAAUUCAUCUUCAUGACGCCGGAAUCCCUAGUAAUCGUGUGUCAUCAGCGCACGGUGAAUACGUCAAUGUGCCUUGCACACACCGCCCGUCAAACCAACCGAGCAGGGUUUAGAUGAGAACUAGUCUCUAGAUUAUUUCGAAUCUAAGUUCAGUAAGGUGGGUUAAGUCGUC